GAAAGGGCGACUGAUCGUGGGGAGGAAGCGUGAAGCGAAACUGCGAGCCGAUGAACAAGAACCGGAUAAAAGGCGUUGCCGAACAGGGCGAGCG
rfam:Candidatus Burkholderia pumila strain TZHbot3 BPMIctg2, whole genome shotgun sequence.